CCUACGGGGUGCUGCAGUGGGGAAUAUUGGACAAUGGGCGAAAGCCUGAUCCAGCCAUGCCGCGUGUGUGAAGAAGGCCUUCGGGUUGUAAAGCACUUUCAGUGGGGAAGAAAGCCUUGGGGCUAAUACCCUCGAGGAAGGACAUCACCCACAGAAGAAGCACCGGCUAACUCCGUGCCAUCAGCCGCGGUAAUACGGAGGGUGCGAGCGUUAAUCGGAAUUACUGGGCGUAAAGCGCGCGUAGGCGGUCUGAUAAGCCGGUUGUGAAAGCCCCGGGCUCAACCUGGGAACGGCAUCCGGAACUGUCAGGCUAGAGUGCAGGAGAGGAAGGUAGAAUUCCCGGUGUAGCGGUGAAAUGCGUAGAGAUCGGGAGGAAUACCAGUGGCGAAGGCGGCCUUCUGGACUGACACUGACGCUGAGGUGCGAAAGCGUGGGUAGCAAACAGGAUUAGAUACCCUAGUAGUC
rnacentral:rRNA from 1 species